AAUACACACACCACACGCAGCUGAAACCUUUUGCACAACGAUUCACGUUCUGGCUAAUUCUUUCUCGUCCAAAGCCCAAUUCACCGUCGAAGCUUCCUAUCAAUCAAGACUGUUUCCAUUUUGAUUUCUGCAGGCGACCGUUAAUUGAUUUGAUUGGAGUCCGUUUCCGUCUUCUCCAACUAAGAAUGCACGGAAAUUGAGCUCGGGGGAGCGCCAGCAUCAGCGAAAUAUGUACGCCCCGUCACUGGGAAUUUCCAAGCCGUCUUUGAUCAAUUUCCCGACGGUAUCCCCGAGCAAAAGACCUAACAGAGGCUUCCACUCCCCCUUGAAAACAAGGGAGUUUCGCAUCUGCACUCGUGCUGUCUCAAAAUCCGGUUCGAAUUCCGAGAAAUCCAAUGAGGAUUUUGUGAGUAGGGUUUUGAGGGAAAACCCGAGCCAAGUUGAGCCCAGAUAUCUGAUUGGGGAUAAGCUGUACACAUCGAAGGAGAAGGAGGAGAGUUUGAACAAGAGGGGCAUUAAUGGGAGGCUUUCGGAGAUACUGUCGAGGCUGAAUUUGAGGGCAUUGGUAGGCCAGAAGGAUAAGGAGAGAGGCAGUGAGGAGAGUGAUGCUGCUGUAAAGCCUGAGGGGGAAGGGGAGGUUUAUUUGAAGGACUUGUUGAGGGAGUACAAAGGGAAGCUUUAUGUUCCGGAGCAAGUUUUCGGAGUUAAUUUGUCGGAAGAAGAGGAGUUUGUUAAGAACGUGAAGGAGCUGCCGAGAAUGAGCUACGAGGAUUUCCAGAAGUACCUGAUGAAUGAUAAGAUAAAGCUUGUGAGCUUUAAGGAGGAUUUUGGCAUUUCGUUUGGCACCAUGUUCAAGGAUUUUGUUGUUGAUUUGAAAGACAUACCCGGCGAGAAGAGCUUGCACAGCCGAAGAUGGUCGAUGAGGCUUGAUGCCGAGCAAGCUCGAGAGUUCUUGGAGACGUACAAGGGGCCGCGCAAUGAAAUAGAGAAGCAAACCACGUCUUGGGUAGGAAAAUUGCCAGAGUAUCCUAGUCCUGUGGCAUCCAAUUUAUCUAGCAGAGUGAUGGUUGAACUUGGAGUGAUAACUGCAGUAAUGACUGCCGCCGCAGUUGUUGUCGGAGGGUUUUUAGCUUCAGCAGCAUUUGCUAUUACCUGUUUUGUCUUUUUCGCGGCUGCAUACGUCAUAUGGCCUUUGUCUAAACCAUUUCUCAAGUUGUUUUUUGGUAUUGUCUUUGGAAUAUUGGAAAGAGUCUGGGAAAAUGUUGUUGAUUUCUUGGGUGACGGGGGAUUUUUUUCAAAAGUGUAUGAGGUUUAUAGAUUUGGUGGGGUUGCAGCGAGUAUUGAAAUGCUAAAGCCAAUAUUGAUGGUUUUUGUUACGAUGGUGCUUCUUGUUCGUUUCACCCUUUCAAGAAGGCCGAAGAAUUUCAGAAAAUGGGACAUAUGGCAAGGUAUCGAAUUUUCUCAAUCAAAACCUCAAGCACGUGUUGAUGGUUCUACCGGUGUCAUGUUUAGUGAUGUAGCUGGAAUUGAGGAAGCAGUGGAAGAACUCCAAGAGUUGGUAAGGUAUCUGAAGACUCCUGAGCUAUUUGACAAAAUGGGGAUAAAGCCUCCUCAUGGAGUUCUUCUCGAAGGCCCCCCUGGGUGCGGCAAGACAUUGGUUGCCAAAGCCAUAGCCGGAGAAGCAGGUGUUCCAUUUUAUCAAAUGGCUGGAUCUGAAUUUGUUGAAGUCUUGGUUGGUGUUGGUUCUGCUCGUAUCCGGGAUUUAUUCAAGCGAGCAAAGGUAAAUAAACCAUCUGUCAUUUUUAUAGAUGAAAUUGAUGCUCUGGCAACGAGGCGGCAAGGAACAUUCCAAGAGACAACAGAUCACCUAUACAAUGCUGCAACUCAAGAAAGGGAGACGACAUUGAACCAGCUAUUGAUAGAACUAGAUGGGUUCGACACAGGCAAAGGUGUUAUAUUCUUGGGUGCCACUAAUCGAAUGGAUUUACUAGAUCCUGCCCUUCUUCGCCCCGGUCGGUUUGACCGCAAGAUAAGAAUCCGCCCGCCAAAUGCUAAAGGGAGAUUGGACAUUCUAAAAGUUCAUGCCCGGAAAGUGAAGUUAUCAAAUACCGUUGAUCUGUCUAGUUAUGCAAACAACUUACCUGGAUGGUCGGGUGCAAAGCUGGCGCAACUUCUCCAAGAGGCAGCUCUUGUGGCAGUCAGGAAAGGACAUUCUGCUAUUCUUCAUUCAGACAUGGACGAUGCAGUUGACCGUCUGACGGUAGGUCCGAGGCGUGUCGGGAUAGACCUUGGCCACCAAGGACAAUCUCGGAGAGCCACAACCGAGGUGGGCACUGCCUUGACUUCCCAUCUGCUAAGACGUAUUGAGAAUGCAAACAUCGAGCGCUGUGAUCGUGUCUCCAUUAAUCCUCGUGGACAGACAUUGUCGCAAGUUGUAUUUCACCGUCUUAACGACGAGUCGUACAUAUUCGAGAGAAAGCCUCAGCUUCUACAACGCCUUCAGGUAUUGCUCGGCGGCAGAGCAGCCGAAGAAGUCAUUUUUGGGAGGAAUACCUCGAAAGCAUCAGUCAGUUACCUCGCCGACGCUUCCUGGCUCGCCCGAAAGAUCAUCACGAUAUGGAACAUAGAUGACCCAAUGACGAUCCACGGCGAGCCUCCUCCAUGGAUAAAGCGCCCUAAAUUUGUCGGCCCAAGAAUCGACUUUGAGGGCUCUCUUUACGACGACUACGAUCUGAUCGAGCCCCCGAUCAACUUCGAGCUAGAAGGCGACGUUGCGAGGAGGACGGAACAACUGAUGCACGAAAUGUACGGAAAAACAGUCGAUCUGCUCAGGCAGCACAAGGCAGCUUUGCUUAAAACUGUCAAGGUUCUUGUUGACCGGAAGGAGAUCAGCGGGGAUGAAAUCGACUACAUUCUGGAUAAGUAUCCGGCGCAGACGCCGACGAGGUUGGUGCUGGAGGAGCAAAAUCCGGGAAGCCUUCCGGCGUUGGAGCUGAAAGGGGAGGAGAGGGGCGAUUUGGAGUAUACCCUUUUGAGUUCUUAGCUUCUUUCGAGGAUCUGUUGAGGGAAAGUUUGGGAGAUGGGAAUGAAUUGUCGCCCAUUGUUGUUUAUUUGUGUAGUCUGAAGGAGGAUUCUUGCAUACGAAGAAGAUAAACAGAUUUUUGUGCGUUGAGAUUCAGACGGUUUUGAAGAGAAAUUCCACAUCCUCUGCUGCAGCGGCUGUGUGCCUGUGUCUUGUCAACGGAUGAUCUUCAACUUCCAGUUCCAGGCACGGAUUGGAGGCUGGAGGAGCAGAGGGAUUU